rnacentral:hammerhead_ribozyme from 1 species
GUUCAGCUGACGAGUCCCAAAUAGGACGAAACGCGCGUUCUGGAU